CAUGAGGCAUAAUUCUAAAAAUACAAGAAAUAUCGUUGAUAAUUAUUUUAAAUCUCGGUGGCCCACUCGAAUGAAACACGCCUUCCGAUUGGCUCUGAGUCACUCGCUCGAGCCAAUCGAAGACAGGGACACGCAAACCGGCGUCAUCUUUUAUUUUGUUGACGCAACUUUAAAGCUAAUUUUAGCGCGCAACCCCCGUCCGUUCUGGAUCGCCCUCAAUGAUUUCGCAUUUCUGCAAAAUGCCAAGAAUCACUGCGGCAUUGCAUACCGUUACGGAUCUACUUUAUAUACCAGCAAAAUUUAACUUCUAUUUUCAGGUAUCCCACGGCAAAUUGAAUCUACAUUUUUACACUCUUCUGGUAAUUCCAUACCGACUGUCGAUACAAUGAAUUUUCCGUUGUACCUUCAGACAUUUUCUUUCUUUACUAUACGACUAACCCUAAUAAGGACAGUCAUACUGCAAACUAUCGCAAAUGAUACGUAUCUUCCAUAAACAUCUAACAGAUGGCAUCACGAUCCCGACAAUGAAUUCAUUUAACACCGCGCAGAAGCGUCUCGAACGAACCGGAGUCUAAUAAUUUCAAGUUCUCGAGACGGAACCCGCCCACGUCGUCUGCCCUUUGCAAUAAGGAAAGAGCCGCAAGAGAAAAUCAAGUAAAACGAUUGGUCGGGCGGUAACGCGUCUCGGCGCCCACGACGCCUAGUGACGCAAGAGUCCCGGAUUCGCGGUCGCUAUAUUUAGGCUGCCCGGGCCGGGCCGUUUUUAGUCGGGAAACAGGUGGACAUCCAACCCCAUGAAUCGCUUCAAGUCGGUUGACUUUGACCGAUUUUCAACUUACCCGCGCAAAAUUCGCGCCCUUAUUUAUUGUUUCAUUCUUAACAACCCAACGUCUACACAACGGAUCCUGAGAAUUCGAAGAUUUAAAGCUACCUGAAUUAACCGGAUCGGAAUUGUUUUCUUGAUCUUGAAGAAGAAUCGAUCAAGAGAACAGCGAAAGAAGAAAAAAAAAUAAGAAUUCGAUCAUCAUUUUGGAAAAGGAAUGUUAUUCCUAAGAAUCGACGGGAAUUUUCGUUGUUACAUGAGGAUUGAUAAGGAAGGGUUAAUGGCGAGCGAAUUUCCGGUGGACUUGAGAAUAAAUCCGUCUGUUUACGACACAUCGUCUGAUGACGUCAGGACGCCCCGGUCAUACGUCACAUGGCGAAAAUACGAUUUAGCCGUGCGCAAAAAAAUAAGUAUCGCCAGCGCGAGUUCUCAACGGACGCCGUGGAUGAAAAAUACUUGGAACAGUCGAUAUCUUCGGAUCUUGACAUGGUAAUGAGGCUUGAGACGUUGAAAGAGAUAAGUAUCACUUAAGAUCGACUAAUCCCAAAAAGGGCACGAGUCCGGCGACUCGGUGUCUCGCAUUACUACACGACGAUAUCGACGUCCGCUAGAAAGGUGAUCUUUCCGAUUUGGCACUACUUAUUCAAAGCAACCCCAGUACGCUAACUCGUAUACCCGGUGUGCUAAAUGCAAGGCUAUUUUUAUUUCUGUAUUCUCGUCCUCGCUCGUCUGUAUAGAUAGUAUUUAUUUUAAAUUCGGCCACGGCCAAACGGUGCGAGAUUCCGAGAUGCUACGACCACUUUUCACUCCGAUGACUCUUGACUUUAAGCUACGUGCACACGUAACCGUUACACGGUAUACAAAUAUAUGUAAACCCAUAUACAAUUUCCAUCUAGACCUUCCCGUUCCGUCGUAACUGAAACACGCGAUACUCAGAAAUCUGUGAGUCUGAUCGAAGGAUCCUUCAAAAGUUCCACUCGUCCUAACCCUCCUCAUUGAUACCCGCUGAAAUUCCAAUUUGGAAUCCCAUCCAAUUUUCGCGAUACUUUCACGAGCCUGUCCAUCCAAGUGUCUUCUCGGUGGUUCACGUGGUACUUCCAAGAUUUCAGCGCUUGACCCAGUUCUCAGCUUGGAUUCUCAGUCUCGUUUCAAAAUUAGACGUCCAACGAGCACCCGCAUAGCGUCGUCCAGAAGUACAAAGUAUCUACAGGGUGGUCAUAGCUAACACGGAUACCAGUCUCAUUUUGUCCAUCGCAGGUAAUCAUUCUGGUCGUGACGUGUUUGUGUACACAGGGUGAGGAUGAGAAAGUUUGCCAGAGUUUAAAGCCAGGAUUAAAAAUGGCGAAAGUCGUCACGACGCGGAGGCGACGGUAAAAAUGUAGCCAAUACGUGAAUGGGCGUUUGUGGUUAUAAUUGAACAGCGUGACGUUACGUACUGCGUAUUGGAUGGAAUCAUACGUCUGCUAUAGGAAAUGGUGUAACUUGUUAUGUACUGUCGGAUAAAUAAAUUCUUCGCUCGUGA